rnacentral:rRNA from 1 species
CCUGAUGCAGCGACGCCGCGUGAGGGAUGACGGCCUUCGGGUUGUAAACCUCUUUCAGCAGGGAAGAAGCGAAAGUGACGGUACCUGCAGAAGAAGCGCCGGCUAACUACGUGCCAGCAGCCGCGGUAAUACGUAGGGCGCGAGCGUUGUCCGGAAUUAUUGGGCGUAAAGAGCUCGUAGGCGGUUUGUCGCGUCGGAUGUGAAAGCCCGGGGCUUAACCCCGGGUCUGCAUUCGAUACGGGCAGACUAGAGUGUGGUAGGGGAGAUCGGAAUUCCUGGUGUAGCGGUGAAAUGCGCAGAUAUCAGGAGGAACACCGGUGGCGAAGGCGGAUCUCUGGGCCAUUACUGACGCUGAGGAGCGAAAGCGUGGGGAGCGAACAGGAUUAGAUACCCUGGUAGUCCACGCCGUAAACGGUGGGAACUAGGUGUUGGCGACAUUCCACGUCGUCGGUGCCGCAGCUAACGCAUUAAGUUCCCCGCCUGGGGAGUACGGCCGCAAGGCUAAAACUCAAAGGAAUUGACGGGG